UACGAAGGGGGCUAGCGUUGCUCGGAAUCACUGGGCGUAAAGCGCACGUAGGCGGAUUCCUAAGUCGGGGGUGAAAUCCUGGAGCUCAACUCCAGAACUGCCUUUGAUACUGAGGAUCUCGAGUCCGGAAGAGGUGAGUGGAACUCCGAGUGUAGGAGGUGAAAUUCGUAGAUAGUUCGGAAGAACACCAGUGGCGAAGGCGGCUCACUGGCCCGGUACUGACGCUGAGGUGCGAAAGCGUGGGGAGCAAACGGG
rnacentral:rRNA from 1 species